AGAUGGGAAUACUCAAACAAAUAGGUGAGUUGUCGUCCUAUUAUGAAAAAGAUAAAAGAAAAAGCAAUGUAACAAGGAGAGGGUGAUAGACAGGCCAGGCCAUCUAACAUGGUUAGUUAGCUAGCCCUCUCUCUCUAUAGCUAUAUAUGAAUUUGGUUCACUACUCCUUCUGUCCCUUUUAACUCCUCCAUCAAGCUUCUCAAAUCUUCUGCAUCAAAAUCCAGUUCAGUCCUUGGAUUUGGAGGCAUCAGGAAACAUGGCAAGCGAAGCACCGAGUUGGGCUGAUCAAUGGGGUGCUGGUGGUAUUGGUGCCAUGGAAGAUGAUGACACAAUCUCUCAAAAGGAAACCGGAAAGAAAAAGAAUUCAGGUUCUAAGGGUGGUUUCGGCAAAGUCAAAGCAAGUGCCUCAAAUUGUGUCAAAUGGUUAAAAAGCCUGUGCAAGAGAAAGAGUACAUCUAAGUAAACCAGAGGAUAUACUGUGUGUGUGCACUUGUAAUUCAGCACCAUGGCAGAUACCAGUUUUGUAACUUUUUUUCUUUUCCUUUUAACUAAUGAUUUGGUGUUUCGGUCUGUUAAGAUCGAUCCGAUUCUAGAGGAAGAUGAUAUGUAAAGUUAGUAUUAGUCUCACUAUUUUUGCCCAACACUGCAUGAUUGAUAGCCUAAGAGUCAAGAACUUCUUUUAGGAUACUGGGCCAUUAUUUCGCUUAACAAUCCAUGAUUAUUAAAAGCUUAAAA